AAUAUUGAGAGUUGGGACAUAGAUAUUCUGUGUAUACGACCACUUUAGUAUCGUUCUAAGUGGGGAAAUUGUCGUUGUACCUAUAUCGCAUCAAGACGUUCCUAGAAAUGAUGACCGAUGUAUCUCGUAUGUCAAACGUUUUAUCAGGACGGGCUUUGGAACCCAAGAUAUGAAUAUGGAAGAAACAAUACAGACAAUAUAAUUCAUACGACAUAUAUCGACGCACACACAAGUCCGUAUAUAGUGAACAUUUGCCACAGUAGCAGUCAGUAAUAUUGUGUCUGAGACAUGGAACAAUGCACAGGUCCGAAUGGGAAGUAAAGAUGGGACAGUACAUUUUGAACAUUUCAAAGGUUAUAUUAAGUUUCUUGGCGGUUGUCUUCGACACAAAUAAUUAAAGAAUGUCUUUAGUACCCUACAACAUACGUCGAUAUUAUGUAGACUUAAGAAAAAUACUUUCUCAAUUUGUUUCUUGGCGGUUGUCUUCGAUACAACGUUGACAGAACAUAAUAAUAUGUACGAUAGUGUGCUUGAAAGCAACAAAUCUGUCAUUUUCAGAUACAUAUAUUCUAAUACGUGAUAAUAUACUGAAAAGGAUAUCUUGUGUAGAACGACCGUAGAGCAGCAUCCUCCUCCUCAGUCGUACAUUCUUGACAGAAUGCUCGUGGUUGACAAUGAUGCAUUUCCCUGGAUAUCGUAGCUCUCGCGAUGUGCCUCCACUUAUUGAUAUCUUCACCCGUAACCCUGGGCACGGGUUCCGCGUUAUACCCCGCAGGACUGGGUCCCUGCUGAACUUCGCCAUCUACACACUCCGGCCUACUGAAGUGUAAGAUGCCCACCCCCGCGACAUGGACGCGCCAGACAGGAAUUGCCCAAGUGGAGAGUAGAGAAGGUGACUCUACUCCCCCCAGGGCCGAGUUAAUGGGCGUGUAUGAUUCCACACCCAAAGGCUUAAUACUACCACUACUACAAAUAUAAAUAAAACAACAUUCAGUUGUUGUAUCUUGUUAAUACUUAUUCUAGAAUACAUUUAUGUACUCGCCAUUACAGGGCAUUUUGUCGAUACGAAAUAUAUUUUAUUUAAAAGAUACAUCAACAUUACACAGUUCUCUCCUCACUCGGACAUAUUUUACAUAGUACAAAGUAAGUUUGUGUUAAAACUACUAGAGUACAUUAGUACUUUACAUUUUGCGAAAA